GAUGAACGCUGGCGGCGUGCCUAAUACAUGCAAGUCGAGCGAACAGACGAGGAGCUUGCUCCUCUGACGUUAGCGGCGGACGGGUGAGUAACACGUGGAUAACCUACCUAUAAGACUGGGAUAACUUCGGGAAACCGGAGCUAAUACCGGAUAAUAUAUUGAACCGCAUGGUUCAAUAGUUAAAGACGGUUUUGCUGUCACUUAUAGAUGGAUCCGCGCCGCAUUAGCUAGUUGGUAAGGUAACGGCUUACCAAGGCGACGAUGCGUAGCCGACCUGAGAGGGUGAUCGGCCACACUGGAACUGAGACACGGUCCAGACUCCUACGGGAGGCAGCAGUAGGGAAUAUUCCGCAAUGGGCGAAAGCAUGACGGAGCAACGCCGCGUGAGUGAUGAAGGUCUUCGGAUCGUAAAACUCUGUUAUUAGGGAAGAACAAAUGUGUAAGUAACUAUGCACGUAUUGACGGUACCUAAUCAGAAAGCAACGGCUAACUACGUG
rnacentral:rRNA from 1 species